rnacentral:rRNA from 11 species
CUGAAGAGUUUGAUCAUGGCUCAGAUUGAACGCUGGCGGCAGGCUUAACACAUGCAAGUCGAGCGGAAACGAUGGGAGCUUGCUCCCAGGCGUCGAGCGGCGGACGGGUGAGUAACGCGUAGGAAUCUACCCAGUAGUGGGGGAUAGCCCGGGGAAACUCGGAUUAAUACCGCAUACGCCCCACGGGGGAAAGGCCGGGAUCUUCGGACCGGUCGCUAUUGGAUGAGCCUGCGUUGGAUUAGCUAGUUGGUAGGGUAAAGGCCUACCAAGGCGACGAUCCAUAGCUGGUCUGAGAGGAUGAUCAGCCACACUGGAACUGAGACACGGUCCAGACUCCUACGGGAGGCAGCAGUAGGGAAUAUUGCACAAUGGGCGAAAGCCUGAUGCAGCCAUGCCGCGUGUGUGAAGAAGGCCUUCGGGUUGUA